rnacentral:rRNA from 1 species
GCUAAACGCGAAGAACCUUACCAGCCCUUGACAUGUCGGUCGCGGAUUACAGAGAUGUUUUCCUUCAGUUAGGCUGGACCGAACACAGGUGCUGCAUGGCUGUCGUCAGCUCGUGUCGUGAGAUGUUGGGUUAAGUCCCGCAACGAGCGCAACCCUCGCCCUUAGUUGCCAGCAUUCAGUUGGGCACUCUAAGGGGACUGCCGGUGAUAAGCCGAGAGGAAGGUGGGGAUGACGUCAAGUCCUCAUGGCCCUUACGGGCUGGGCUACACACGUGCUACAAUGGUGGUGACAGUGGGCAGCGAGACAGCGAUGUCGAGCUAAUCUCCAAAAGCCAUCUCAGUUCGGAUUGUCCUCUGCAACUCGAGGGCAUGAAGUUGGAAUCGCUAGUAAUCGCGGAUCAGCACGCCGCGGUGAAUACGUUCCCGGGUCUUGUACACACCG